rnacentral:rRNA from 1 species
UGCAGUGGUGACAGCACGUUGAUUGUAUCAGUUCCCAGUAGAUCACUAAAGUUAAACAACAUUGGGCGUGGUUAGGAUCAGGAAGAGUGACCAUUUGGGUAGUCGCUGGAUUCUCUGGCC